UUCUCGGGGGGACUUGUGCCCAUUUGUGGUUUAGCUUUGGGGUUUUGCUCCUUUGAACCUGCAGCCUCUUCUAUCCCACAGCCUUGGAAACCUGCACUCAGUGCCUGGAGUGGUUCCUCUCGGGAACUGUAGCAGAGGUCAUGCUAAAACAGGGCAGGAACAGGGAACCCAAAGUGGGGAAGAGCCUGGGCUUAGAGCUCUUUACUGCUCUUGCAUUAACCAAACUCGGUGCUGCUGGACCAGAGGCUGAGCAAAGCUGAGCAGGGUUUGUGCAUGAGCAGAGCAGGGGUGGGGCAGAAUUGAUGGAGGUGCUCAGGCUGUGGCAGCGUCAGCAGGCACCUUGGGAGGGCAAGGAGCUAACUGCUGCUCUUGCUUCUGAGGCUGAAGUAGGACAGCAGCAGUGCUGCAGCUGCUCCUGGGCAGGUCGGAGGAGCCAUGGCAGGGCUGGCACUGCAAGCUCCUAGGGUUUCAAGGUGCCAGAGCAGGCCUGGUGCUGUGCCGGUGGCUUCGGAACUACUGCUGGCCUGAGGCAUCCUGCAGAGCCACUUGCUGGCUGCUGAGGGCUUGGGGGAAGGAGCUGGGCAGUGCCCCAGCCAGCCACGCAGGAAUUAGUGCAUCGUUACCAUUAAGCACAGCUGAUCUUUCCCCUCCAAGUGGGGGCAAGCAUGGGGCUUGCAUUUUAGAGUGAAAGGAACACAGAGGCUUGAUUGUGCUGUGCCGUGUCCUGUUCUGUAGCUGGAGAAUGUGAAACAGCAACGAGUGCUCAGCCAGGGAAGGGAGGGCUCUGCAGGUCCUUGCAUCUGCCCCAUGGGCAACUGUGCCACAGGGUCCCCUUCCAUCAUGCAGAUGGCUUCAGCUGCAGCCAAAGCAGCCUCUAAAGCAGGAUGGUGCACCUCUGAUAGCAACCUUCACAAGGAGGCUGCUGGACCACUGCAACAGGCUGCCAGGGAAGUGGUUGAGGCUCCAUCCCUGGUGAAAUGCAAGGUGUGGCUGGACAGGGCUGUGGGCAACCUGAUCUAGUGGAAGAUGUGCCUGCUGAGUGCAGGGGGUUGGAGUGAAUGGGCUUUGGAGGUCCCUUUCAACCCAGAGCAGUCUGUGCACACAGUGGAGCUUUGGAGGCACAAAGGUCUGCAGCUGCUCCUUUUCAGAUGAGAGACCCAAACUGGAGAGGAUGCCCUGGGACAGAAGAGCUGUCAGCAGCUCUGAGUGUGAAGCAGGAGCUUGGCUGCAGGUGGUUGUUUCUGCAGGUGCCUGUUGCCAAGCCCCAGGUGAAGCCUGUCUCAUGACCCUGCCUGUGGCAAAGUGCACUCAGUGAAGGCUAAGGGAGCCUCUAAUCUUCUGGGCUGCCAGGACAAAGUUUCCAAAGGGAACCCAUUGACCCAAAGUGCAGCUCCAGCUCACAAACAAGCCUCUUCUGCCACAGGCAGGGCACCCUGGGCUGGGGCUUGGCCUUUGGCUCUAGGCACCCUUAGGAAAAGUCCUCCUCCAGCCUUCCUGCAGGAUCCCUUCAGGUACAGCUGCAGCCUGCACUUAUGGCUGCAGGCUUUGGCUAAUCCUCACUGAGCCACAGGAUGGGCUGGGCUGGAAGGGACCUCCAAAGCUCAUCCAGUCCAAACCCCUCUGCACCCAGCAAGGACAUUCUCCACUAGAUCAGGCUGCCCACAGCCCUGUCCAGCCUCACUUUGAACAUCUGCAGGGAUGGGGCCACAAUGACCUCCCUGGGCAACCUGUGCCAGCACCCUCAGGAUGCAGAACCUGUUCCUAACGCCCAGUUUAAACCUCCUGUUCUCUGGUUUGAAGCCUUUGCCCUCAUCCUGUCAUCACUACAGGCCUUUGGAAACCCUGAAUAAGCUUUUCCAGCUCUGUGCUGUGUCCUGUAGCUCUGCAUUUCCUCUGGCUGGGGCACUUAGUGCCAUGGUCUGGUUGGUUGGGCAGGGCUGGCUGCUAGGUUGGGCUGGCUGAGCUUGGAGCUCUCUGCCAGCCUGCUCGUUUCUAUGAUUCCAUCUCUGUGCCUGCAGCUCUGCAUUUCCUCUGGAUCGCCCAGAGUGCAGCUGCAGUUGGCAGAGGAUCCAAGAGGGCCGAGGCAGUGGCUAUGGAGCCUGCUGGCAGGGCUGGGGAGGCUUUUGUUCUGUCAGCCUGCAGCAGCUGCAGCGCUGGGGCCUGAGGCUCCGAGGUGCAGCUAACCUUUGCCUUGCCGAGCUUCAGUUUUCAUGCACGCACUGGGGGGGAGUUGUUGCUAAGCUUGCCCCUGAGCUUCAGGUGUGGCAGCAGCUGAACUUACAGCUCCUCUUCUUGCUAAGUCUAUGGAAAAAGAGGUUGGCAGUGCCAAAGUUCAGCCUGAGGAGAGCUGAUAACUCCUGCCUGCUGCGCGGCUUAUCGCUGCUGGGCGGUGACUGAGCUUUAAUUACAGCCACAGCACUCCUACAGCUAAUUGUGGUUUAAUUGCGGGGCCGCGGGGGAGGGGGCUGCGGGGGAUGCUCAGCUUGCACAAGUGGUGUGCGGCUCCCGGGAUCCUCACCUGGGCAGCUCUGGUGCCCUGGCAGAAAGCAAAGGGCUGCAGGCUGCCAAACUGGCUGAGCAGCUUUAGCACUGGCUGCAGGCAGGCAGCGGCCACUGCAGGAGUUCCUCCCUCCCCUCCCUCCCCGGCUUGACCACUCAAUGAAUUUCAAAUGAUUGUUUACCCUUUGGUGAGUGCCAGAACAAAAAGAGCAGGGAGAAGGCUCAGAGCACCCUGCCAGGUUACCUGUUCCGUACAAGCUCUUCACAGCAGGAGCUGCAUGCUCCCGGGAGCUGGGCUCACAACUAAGUGCAAGGCUCUGCUGCCUGGCUCCGUGAGCCAGCUGUGACAGCCAAAACGUGCUCGACAAGUCAGCAGCAGCAGAAAGACCCAGGGAGGGGAGCUGAAGGAAUUGGAGAAGGGUGAGGGAAGAGCCAUGCCUGAUAAAGCCUCCUGUGUGCAUCCAAACAGUGCAGUGCUGCUCCCCCUGCACAGCAGGAACGGGACACAGGAGAUACAGAAUGGCUCAGGCUGGGAGGGAGCUCAGAGCUCAUCUCCUCCAACCUCCACACCAUGCCCAGGGACACCUCUCAGCUACACUCAGCUGCUCAAGGCCUCACCCAGCCUGGCCUGCAGCACCCCCAGCAAGGAGGCAGCCACAGCCUCCCUGGGCAGCCUGGGACACACUCUCAGCACCCUCACACUCAGCAACUCCUUCCUCAGCUCCACUCUCAGCCUGCUCUGCCUCAGCUCCAAACCAUUGCCCCUUGGGCUGUCUCUAGAGCCCCUGAUGCAAAGUCCCUCUGCAGCCUUCCUGCAGGCUGCCUUCAGCUCUGGGCAGGCAGCUCUGAGGUGCCCCUGGAGCCUUCUCCCCUGCAGGCUGCACCCCCCCAGCUCCCUGAGGCUGUGCUCACAGCAGAGCUGCUCCAGCACUUUUGUGGUCUCCUCUGGCCUCCCUCCAGCAGCUCUGUGCCCUCCUCGUCCUGAGGCCACCAGACUUUUGUGUCCUUUUCCUGCUGGUGCCACCAGACCUGUCCCCGGUGCCUCCAUCUGCGCCCAGCAGCAGCCGGAGGCUGUGCGCACGCAGGCAGGAGCUGUGUGAGGUACAAUUUGAAGAGCAUUCUCAUGCUGGCAAAAAGAAUGAACCCAACUUCAUCAUGCAGCUGACGCAGCCCUGAAGCGUAAAGCAAGAGGCUAAAAAAAAAAAUCACCUGUGGAACAAAAAUAAACCACCAGGGCAAGGAAUGUAGUGUUCAAAAACCAGUGACAGUGACAACCACCCAAGGAAAUAAAAACAAGCAACCCAGCAAGGGCCUGUGGACAACCAAGACAGGUCCAAAUCCUCUCUGCCAGUCGUCUCCUCUCCCAUGAUUUAUUUAACUGAGCUCUACCCAAAUCCACUCCGCUCGACUUCGACUUCUUUUUAUUUGGUUUUUUUGUUUGUUUUCUCCACCAGGGAUAAGUAUAAAAAUAAAAGGUUACUUAUUAAAACUA